GAGCAUGGCCAGGACAGCUGACACAAACUGGCCCGAGGGAUAUUCUGUACUAGAGAACAUCAUGCCCAGUACAUACACUGGGGAGAGUUUUGCCAGAAGCCACCAAAUGCUGCACAGGUGUAGGCUGGGGAGUCAGUGGGUGAGACAAUAUAGGGGACAAACUUCCUCCCUCCCUCCAGGCUGUUUACUGUAGCAUGUGGGAUUUCUAAAGCAACCAGGUGCAGAAGAAGCUGGGAGGGAGCAUGGCCAGGACAGCUGACCUGAAGUGGCCAAAGACACAUUCCAUAGGAUGCAAUGUUAUUCUCAAUAUCUAAAUGGAGAGGAGUUGGCUGUGAGCCACGGAUUGCUCAGGGAUGGGCUGGGCAUUGGUCAGUGGGUGCUAUGUAAACUGUAUUUGUAACUGAAGAGAUGUAAAUUUAAGAAGGCGAUAACCUCAG